GGGGGUGUAGCUCAUAUGGUAGAGCGCUCGCUUUGCAUGCGAGAGGCACGGGGUUCAAUUCCCCGCACCUCCA
rnacentral:tRNA from 1 species